AGUAAAUCAAACCCCCAAAAACUUUCUCCACCGAACUUCACCUGUAACCUCUACCAUUUAGAGGAAUUUCCAUUUCUGUGAGGUUCCCAAGAUUUGCUAAAUCUACCAGCCUGAUUCUCUCUCUGCACCAUGUGGCUGCUGCAGGAAACUGGUGAGGGAUGGUGUCGACAAUUCAAGACUGUUUUUUCCUACCCUCUUCAGUGCCUCUUUCCCUGAUGUGAUGUUAAAACCAGCUGAAAUUGUGGAGCAGAAAUUGUGGAGAAGAUAAAAGCCAUGUCCCC